rnacentral:rRNA from 1 species
GACAGAGGCCUCAAGCGUUAGGCGGAAUCACUGGGCUUAAAGCGUGUGUAGGCGGAUCGUUAAGUGUCUUGUGAAAUCCCACGGCUCACCCGUGGAACUGCUGGGCAUACGUGGCGAAUCUUGGGCCAACUAGGGGCAACUGGAACAAGCGGUGGAGCGGUGAAAUGCGUAGAUAAUCGCUUGGAACGCCAAAGGGUGAAAACAGG